GACGAACGCUGGCGGCGUGCUUAACACAUGCAAGUCGAACGGAAAGGCCCUGCUUUUGUGGGGUGCUCGAGUGGCGAACGGGUGAGUAACACGUGAGUAACCUGCCCUUGACUUUGGGAUAACUUCAGGAAACUGGGGCUAAUACCGGAUAGGAGCUCCUGCUGCAUGGUGGGGGUUGGAAAGUUUCGGCGGUUGGGGAUGGACUCGCGGCUUAUCAGCUUGUUGGUGGGGUAGUGGCUUACCAAGGCUUUGACGGGUAGCCGGCCUGAGAGGGUGACCGGCCACAUUGGGACUGAGAUACGGCCCAGACUCCGACGGGAGGCAGCAGUGGGGAAUAUUGCACAAUGGGCGGAAGCCUGAUGCAGCAACGCCGCGUGCGGGAUGACGGCCUUCGGGUUGUAAACCGCUUUCGCCUGUGACGAAGCGUGAGUGACGGUAAUGGGUAAAGAAGCACCGGCUAACUACGUGC
rnacentral:rRNA from 1 species